rnacentral:tRNA from 1 species
GCGGGUGUGGCGGAACUGGCAGACGCACCAGAUUUAGGUUCUGGCGGGCUACCGUGGGGGUUCGAGUCCCUCCACCCGCA